CGUCUAUUUCUUCUUCUUUGAACGAACAUGGAUAGCUGAUUUCAAACGUUUCAAGUAACAAAAACUGCAAACAAAAAAGUCCCAAAGAAAGUAAAUGGACAGCGCAGAUGAUGUCUAACCGUGUUUACUGUCAGAGAGCUGAAAAUAGUCCAGUGGGCAAGGACGUCGCUUCAAGGUAUUACUAUCACUGGCUAGCCCAAGAUACGCUUGCAUCCAUGGUUCUCUCAUCUCACGGAAAGAGGUCACCUCGAAGCCACUACAUCCUUCGUCCUCCCUGUGUCCACGUUUAAGUGUCCAGCUGCUGCAAGAAGAAGGCUCAGGAUGGGAAAAUCUGCCGAACCAUGUUUUGGAUCUGGUCUCAUCAUAGCGUGAAUCCAGGCAGCUGCUGCUGCUGCAGAAGGAGGAGGAUGAGGAGGAGGAAGAUGUGGAUGAGGAGGAGAAGGAGGAGGAGGAGGAGGAGGAGGAGGACAGUGUCCACAGCUGCUUGCUGGUCCUGCAGCCCAGCCCAGUCCUCCUGCACGAUCAGGUCCAACCGCGGUGCUUCAGGACGUCUCCUCCACCUGUCUGAGGUUGACGACAGUCAAUCUCUCCCCACCACUGUCUAGUUAGGAGAAUCUAAAGCAGCACUUCCGGUGUUGAUUUUCAAAAUAAAAUAAUAACGGCGCUGAACGUCAACUGCCAA